CCUACGGGAGGCAGCAGUGGGGAAUAUUGCACAAUGGGGGAAACCCUGAUGCAGCGACGCCGCGUGAAGGAAGAAGUAUCUCGGUAUGUAAACUUCUAUCAGCAGGGAAGAAAAUGACGGUACCUGACUAAGAAGCCCCGGCUAACUACGUGCCAGCAGCCGCGGUAAUACGUAGGGGGCAAGCGUUAUCCGGAUUUACUGGGUGUAAAGGGAGCGUAGACGGAAGUGCAAGUCUGAUGUGAAAGGCUGGGGCUUAACCCCAGGACUGCAUUGGAAACUGUUUUUCUGGAGUGCAGGAGAGGUAAGCGGAAUUCCUAGUGUAGCGGUGAAAUGCGUAGAUAUUAGGAGGAACACCAGUGGCGAAGGCGGCUUACUGGACGGUAACUGACGUUGAGGCUCGAAAGCGUGGGGAGCAAACAGGAUUAGAUACCCCGGUAGUC
rnacentral:rRNA from 1 species